rnacentral:rRNA from 1 species
GACGGAGGGGGCUAGCGUUGUUCGGAAUGACUGGGCGUAAAGGGCGUGUAGGCUGUUGAUCAAGUCAAGCGUGAAAGCCUCGGGCUUAACCCGAGAACUGCGUUUGAUACUGGUUGACUUGAGGACGAGAGAGGAAAGUGGAAUUCCGAGUGUAGAGGUGAAAUUCGUAGAUAUUCGGAGGAACAUCAGAGGCGAAGGCGGCUUUCUGGCUCGUAUCUGACGCUGAGGCGCGAAAGCGUGGGGAGCAAACAGGAUUAGAUACCCUGGUAGUCCACGCUGUAAACGAUGAGUGCUAGACGUUGGGGGGUUCCCCUUCAGUGUCGCAGCUAACGCAUUAAGCACUCCGCCUGGGGAGUACGGUCGCAAGAUUAAA